ACUCCUGCGGGAGGCAGCAGUGGGGAAUUUUGGACAAUGGGCGAAAGCCUGAUCCAGCCAUGCCGCGUGCAGGAUGAAGGCCUUCGGGUUGUAAACUGCUUUUGUACGGAACGAAACGGCCUUUUCUAAUAAAGAGGGCUAAUGACGGUACCGUAAGAAUAAGCACCGGCUAACUACGUGCCAGCAGCCGCGGUAAUACGUAGGGUGCAAGCGUUAAUCGGAAUUACUGGGCGUAAAGCGUGCGCAGGCGGUUAUGUAAGACAGUUGUGAAAUCCCCGGGCUCAACCUGGGAACUGCAUCUGUGACUGCAUAGCUAGAGUACGGUAGAGGGGGAUGGAAUUCCGCGUGUAGCAGUGAAAUGCGUAGAUAUGCGGAGGAACACCGAUGGCGAAGGCAAUCCCCUGGACCUGUACUGACGCUCAUGCACGAAAGCGUGGGGAGCAAACAGGAUUAGAUACCCGAGUAGUCCC
rnacentral:rRNA from 1 species